CUUAGGCUAUAUUAUACUACAUUAAUACCAUUACCAAAAGCUAGUGAAUCAAUGUUUUGUUUGAUAAGUAAGAUUAAGUUAGUUAGAUAAAUGACCUUUAGCUUGGUACAGAAAGAGUGGAGGGCGGCUCCUUCCACACCGCUGCAGAAAACCAAACCUGUAUGAUUAGAGCGGGCGGAGCUGAGUCCGUGACACAAACUUGCCUCGCUAUGUCAUAUUUAAUGAAUUAUUUCACUGUAAUAAUAAUAAUAGCUUAUUUAUUUGGUUGUGAAAAAGCUAAACCGUUUUCUCCAUAACAACAUGUGCCCUUUAAGUUCCUUUGUAAUAAAUCAACAACAACAAGAAUUAAUUUUAAAUAAUAGGUGCAACCGCAUAAAUAAAUCUUCAGAUAGGCUACUCAGCUACAUGUAAGAAAUUAUUUAAAAAAUAAACUUAUAAAGGACACUUGCAGACAGGUAUCUUGUGAUGGGGAGUAGGAAAAAAGGCGCUCCUAGGCCUUCUCUUGACAUCAGCGGAGACUCGUUCCCUGCUGCAUUUGUGUAUUGUUGACGCAGAAGUAUCUUAUUCUGGUCCAUUUUUGUGGCCUUUUUAUAAUUUUUUGUGAAGUUGAAGACUUCAUCUUCUAUCGCUAAAUCAAUGAGCAAACUCUGAGCACUUCACCGGCGAUGACUCUCUUCCCAGGGGAUGCUGAGCUCGCGCCGCAUCCUGAACGCUCUCUUAACUGUUAUAUCGCACUUUGUAAAGAAACUGGUCUGACGGAUAUUGCGUUUUGUGAAAAAAAAUACGUUUUGUACUUGGCCUAAAAUGUGCAUUCUUAAAUGUUAUUAAUGGCAGCAAUUCACACAUAGAUUAAGGUACAUCUGAACAGUGAUUUCCAAUAAUAAAAUCCAAAUGUCAAAAAAUGCCGUUUAUCGCAUUUUGCAACCAAACUCUUCAUAUUUAUGUGUGUGUUAUGACUGUAUGACUGCAGAAGAGAACUGCUCUGUUCCCACAACUCAGUUUUUCUGGGACUUGAAAACAGAUGCUCAGAAGAUUUUAAAGGGUGGAAUCUUGAUCAAAUCGUGGGUUUACACACAAACAUGUAAUACAGUGCAAGAUUUUCUGGAUGUUAUAUACACAUUUGUAUUUGCAAACAUAUUUAUCAUAUUGUUUUAAAUGAUAUAUUUUUGUGUGGGUUUUUACAUUCAGAGAAAGUUACAGUGGAUUGUGAUUUUGGAGGAGGUGAAGUCCAGUCUAAAAGAGUCCCCUCAAGUAUCAUCACCAUGGUACAGUGUCUGUGAAGAUAGUGAAGCAGACCCAGCAUUCACAAAAAAGAGAGGUCCCAUAAAGAGAAGAUCCUGGAGCAAACAGGAAGAACAUGCUGUGGUGAAAGCUGAACCAUGGGCUCUAAAAACCAGAGAUUGGUCAGCUUUGGAUUGUUUAUAUUAAAAACUGAAUCUCGGCUCUUUAGAUAAAAAAUCUGAAUAACACUUUUAUAGUAAGUAUACACUAUACAUCAUUAGUUUAGCACUAACUCUACAUUAAUAGACUUUAGGAAGCAGUUUAUAAAUACAGCUUCAAACGCUGUAUUCUUGACUUGACUUAAUUGUAUUUUCAUGCUUUGUUACUGAUU